CCUACGGGGGGCUGCAGUCGAGAAUCUUGGGCAAUGCACGAAAGUGUGACCCAGCGACGCCGCGUGGAGGAUGAAGGCCCUUGGGUCGUAAACUCCUUUUGUGUGAGAAGAACGUGGGGGUAACCCUGCUUGACGGUAUCACACGAAUAAGCCACGGCUAACUACGUGCCAGCAGCCGCGGUAAUACGUAGGUGGCAAGCGUUGUCCGGAUUUACUGGGCGUAAAGCGUAUGCAGGCGGAUGAGUAAGUAGGAAGUGAAAGGUUGGAGCUCAACU
rnacentral:rRNA from 1 species